rnacentral:tRNA from 1 species
GCGGCCGUGGUCCAGCCUGGUAUGACUUCAGCCCCCCAAGCUGACAACCCGGGUUCGAAUCCCGGCGGCCGCACCA